rnacentral:rRNA from 1 species
UCUAAAGAUACUGCCCCGGUUAACCGGGAGGAAGGUGGGGAUGACGUCAAGUCCUCAUGGCCUUUAUGUCCAGGGCUACACACGUGCUACAAUGGGUUGUACAAAGGGUUGCGAACUCGCGAGAGUAAGCCAAUCCCAAAAAGCAACUCUUAGUUCGGAUUGGAGUCUGCAACUCGACUCCAUGAAGCUGGAAUCGCUAGUAAUCGUGGAUCAGCAUGCCACGGUGAAUACGUUCCCGGGCCUU